rnacentral:rRNA from 1 species
CCUACGGGAGGCAGCAGUAGGGAAUCUUUCACAAUGGGCGAAAGCCUGAUGGAGCAACGCCGCGUGCAGGAUGAAGGCCUUCUGGUUGUAAACUGCUUUUAUAAGCGAGAUAUUUUACGGUACCUGAAGAAUAAGCUCCGUCUAACUACGUGCCAGCAGCCGCGGGAAUACGUAGGUAGCGAGGGUUAUCCGGAAUUAUUGGGCGUAAAGGGUGCGUAGAUGGCAUAGUAAGUCUUUUGUAAAAAUGCUGGGCUCAACCCAGUAGGGCAAAAGAUACUGCAAAGCUAGAGUAUGACAGAGGCAAGUGGAACUACAUGUGUAGCGGUAAAAUGAGUAAAUAUAUGUAAGAACACCAGUGGCGAAGGCGGCUUGCUGGGUCGAUACUGACAUUGAGGCACGAAAGCGUGGGGAGCAAACAGGAUUAGAUACCCUAGUAGUC